CAUAGUGUAGUUGGUUAUCACCCAGGGUUCUGAUUCCUGUAACCUGAGUUCGAAUCUCAG
rnacentral:tRNA from 1 species